rnacentral:tRNA from 2 species
GCGUGGGUAGCUCAGUGGUAGAGCGGCUCGUUUACACCGAGUUGGUCGGGGGUUCAAAUCCCUCCCCGCGUA